rnacentral:rRNA from 1 species
UGCAGUCGAGCGCCCGCAAGGGGAGCGGCAGACGGGUGAGUAACACGUGGGAAUCUACCCAGCUCUACGGAACAACCCAGGGAAACUUGGACUAAUACCGUAUACGUCCUUCGGGAGAUAGAUUUAUCGGAGUUGGAUGAGCCCGCGUCGGAUUAGCUAGUUGGUGAGGUAAUGGCUCACCAAAGCGACGAUCCGUAGCUGGUCUGAGAGGAUGAUCAGCCACACUGGGACUGAGACACGGCCCAGACUCCUACGGGAGGCAGCAGUGGGGAAUAUUGGACAAUGGGCGAAAGCCUGAUCCAGCCAUGCCGCGUGAGUGAUGAAGCCCUAGGGGUUGUAAAGCUCUUUCCACGGGGGAAAGAUAAUGACGGUACCCCGGAAGAAGAAGCCCGGGCUACUUUCGUGCCA